UACGUAGGGUGCGAGCGUUGUCCGGAAUUAUUGGGCGUAAAGGGCUCGUAGGCGGUUUGUCGCGUCGGGAGUGAAAACCUCGGGCUUAACUCGGGGCUUGCUUUCGAUACGGGCAGACUAGAGGUAUGCAGGGGAGAACGGAAUUCCUGGUGUAGCGGUGAAGUGCGCAGAUAUCAGGAGGAACACCGGUGGCGAAGGCGGUUCUCUGGGCAUGAUCUGACGCUGAGGAGCGAAAGUGUGGGGAGCGAACAGG
rnacentral:rRNA from 1 species